AUUCCAUGAUGUGGACAUUUUCACAGCAACUCCUUAAACCGUGUGAAAGCUUCAUAAAAUGUCUCACCUGAAUGCUGUUGGAAAGCCCUGAUUGCUUCCCGAGCUU
rnacentral:snoRNA from 1 species